UGGGGAAUAUUGGACAAUGGGCGCAAGCCUGAUCCAGCAAUGCCGCGUGGGUGAAGACGGCCUGCGGGUUGUAAAGCCCUUUAGGCGGGGAGGAACGGUCGGGUGCCAAUACCACCCGGCGCUGACGUUACCCGCAGAAUAAGCACCGGCUAACUCCGUGCCAGCAGCCGCGGUAAUACGGAGGGUGCGAGCGUUAAUCGGAAUUACUGGGCGUACAGCGUGCGUAGGCGGUAGCGUCAGUCAGCCGUGAAAGCCCCGGGCUUAACCGGGGAACGGCGGUUGAGACGGCGCAACUCGAGUGGGCUAGAGGAUAGUGGAAUUCCGGGUGUAGCGGUGAAAUGCGUAGAGAUCCGGAGGAACACCGAUGGCGAAGGCAGCGGUCUGGGGCCACACUGACGCUGAGGCACGACAGCGUGGGGAGCAAACA
rnacentral:rRNA from 1 species